UACGUAGGGGGCGAGCGUUGUCCGGAAUUAUUGGGCGUAAAGAGCGUGUAGGCUGUUCGGUAAGUCUGCCGUGAAAACCUGAGGCUCAACCUCGGGCGUGCGGUGGAUACUGCCGGGCUAGAGGACGGUAGAGGCGAGUGGAAUUCCCGGUGUAGCGGUGAAAUGCGCAGAUAUCGGGAGGAACACCAGUAGCGAAAGCGAACUUCCUGGACCAAUACUGACGCUCAUGUGCGAAAGCGUGGGGAGCAAACAGG
rnacentral:rRNA from 1 species